rnacentral:rRNA from 1 species
AUGCCACCCGCAAAAAAAAAAACAGAAGUCGAUGGGUGCUCAACAGCAGUGGCAGGAAAGGGCCACUGUGUCAUGUACACCACUGACGGGGGACGGUUCGUGCUGCCAUUGGCAUACCUCAGCACGGUGGUCUUAAGUGAGCUCCCGCGGAUGUCCGAAGAGGUGUUUGGUUUCGCAGGCCGUGAAGGAGGGAUCAAGCUGCCCUGUGACGCCAUGGUGAUGGAGUACGCCAUGUCCUUGCUCAGGAGAAGUGCCUCCGUGAGAUGGAGGCGGUGUUCCUUAGCUCCAUGGUGA